rnacentral:rRNA from 1 species
GCGCUUCUUGGAUAGGCCAGGAAGCCUGUUUCUUUGAGCAUCGUUUUCACCUCAGCUCGACUGCUCUCUUGUAAUGAGAUGAUGCGUGUCGGAUAAUGAGUUGUCUUCUUUGAAAUAAAGAAGUCACUUUAAAUGCGGUGAGCUCCAAACCUCCUAGUGUCAUUCAUUCUCUUCAUUGAGAGUGAAGCCUGUGUCGUAAGACUGUCGCUAGUGUCGUGGAUAAUCUUUAUCAACGAUUACUGUGCUUGUACAGGAUUAUGAUCGUGGUUUAAACAUUGGGUAACCUUCGGAACUCAGUGGAAAUUAUUCUUUUUGAAUUAGAUCUCAAAUGAAGCAAGAGUACCCGCUGAACUUAAGCAUAUUAUUAAGCGGAGGAAAAGAAACUAACAAGGAUGCCCUCAGUAACGGCGAGUGAAGCGGGCAAAGCUCAACCUGAAAAUCGGUUCUCCAAGCGGGGUUUCCGAAUUGUGGGCUAGAGACGCGUGAUCAGUGUGUGACGCAGGUAUAAAUCUUUUGAAACAAGGUAUCAUAGAGGGUGAGAAUCCCGUCUGUGACCUGCAGUUCGCCGCGUACGAUCCGUGUUCGCAGAGUCGAGUUGUUUGGGAUUGCAGC